rnacentral:misc_RNA from 1 species
AACGCACCUUGCGCUCCUUGGUAUUCCGAGGAGCAUGCCUGUUUGAGUGUCAUUAAAUUCUCAACCUCACCGGUUUUCUGAACCGUUCUCCGAGGCUUGGAUGUGGGGGUUUGUGCAGGUCGCCUCAGCGCGGUCUGCUCCCCUGAAAUGCAUUAGCGAGAUUCAUUCUGGACCUCCGUCUAUCGGUGUGAUAAUUAUCUACGUCGUUGACUUGGUUCGGACUCGCUUCUAACCGUCCGCGAGGACAACAUACUUGACAAUUUGACCUCAAAUCAGGUAGGACUACCCGCUGAACUUAA